AUUGAACGCUGGCGGCAUGCCUUACACAUGCAAGUCGAACGGUAACAGGUCUUCGGAUGCUGACGAGUGGCGAACGGGUGAGUAAUACAUCGGAACGUGCCUAGUAGUGGGGGAUAACUACUCGAAAGAGUGGCUAAUACCGCAUGAGAUCUACGGAUGAAAGCAGGGGAUCGCAAGACCUUGCGCUACUAGAGCGGCCGAUGGCAGAUUAGGUAGUUGGUGGGAUAAAAGCUUACCAAGCCGACGAUCUGUAGCUGGUCUGAGAGGACGAUCAGCCACACCGGGACUGAGACACGGCCCAGACUCCUACGGGAGGCAGCAGUGGGGAAUUUUGGACAAUGGGCGCAAGCCUGAUCCAGCAAUGCCGCGUGCAGGAUGAAGGCCUUCGGGUUGUAAACUGCUUUUGUACGGAACGAAAAGCCCUGGGUUAAUACCCUGGGGUCAUGACGGUACCGUAAGAAUAAGCACCGGCUAGCUACGUGCCAGCCGCCGCGGUAAUAC
rnacentral:rRNA from 1 species